rnacentral:misc_RNA from 1 species
UGAAAGGCGAAACGUAAUGUGAAUCGCAAUUAACAGUGAAUCAUCAAAUCUUUGAACGCAGGCCGCACCUUGUUAUAUCACUCCGUGCUAUGGCAAGGUAUCUGCGUAUGAGUGUCAGCCUGAUAUUCUUUUGGUUCAUGAAAAGAAUUAAUCCUCAUUUUACAUUCUGACUGUUGAAUACAUAUACAAGUAUAAAAGAUAUGUCUGGCCUCAUAUGUGGAAGGUUACCCGCUGGAUUUAA